UACGGAGGGUGCAAGCGUUGUCCGGAAUUACUGGGCGUAAAGCGUGCGCAGGCGGCUUCUCAAGUCAGGGGUGAAAGCCCAGAGCUCAACUCUGGAAUUGCCUUUGAGACUGAGUGGCUUGAGUACGAGAGAGGUGAGUGGAAUUCCCAGUGUAGAGGUGAAAUUCGUAGAUAUUGGGAAGAACACCGGUGGCGAAGGCGGCUCACUGGCUCGUAACUGACGCUCAUGCACGACAGCGUGGGGAUCAAACAGG
rnacentral:rRNA from 1 species